rnacentral:lncRNA from 1 species
CGAAGGGGAAGAAAAGCUGUAUCGAUUGUUGAGAUCUGGCGACUUGUUUAAAUUUCAUCAGCCUCACUUCUAUGAACUCUCAGGCCUCAUGUGUACCAGCUCUCUGCUCUCCUUUGCCUUGGGACGUUCCAUCCCUGGAAGUUUCCCUGCCCACAUCUUUGUAGAGAGUCCAUUCUCCAAGCUUCAGUGUGUCAUCUGUGAGGACUGUGACCAACCUGGUACAUCGCCUCAGGGCAUUCAUUUCAGGCUCCUUCUAAAUGGUCAAGACAAAACACCAACAUUUUUGUAAUGGCCUGCAAGGCCUUCCGAGAUCUGCCUCCUGCAACUCAGCUUCUCCUGUGCUCUCCUUCUGGACUCACUCUGCCUCAGCAACACUGGUCCCUGUUGCCCCACCAAUAUACCAGGCCAUGAGAGAAGCAGUACCUUAUAAUGGUUCCUUGUUCAAAGCACUCAAUAUUCCUAGGAUGUGGUCUCCCAGCUGACUUCAUAACUGAAUCAUCAGUAAUUAAUUUCAUUGUUCUAUUAGGACUUUACUGAAGACUCUAAGGAGGACCUGUAUCUGUUGGGAUCCUUAGGGCAAGCCACAGAAACAAGCUUUGGAUACUAGAAGCAGAAAAUGGAGUUAUUGAAGACUAUUGUGGAGUUUACUGUGAGCCAGAGAACCAGGCUGGGUGGCUGUACCACUUAGAAUGAGAUCCAAACUCACACCAUAGUUCCAUCCUUGAGGUCGCCAUGUUGCUGCCACCCCUCCUGCCACCCCACCACUGAAGCUUUGGAUGCUGGAUUCUGGGCACAGCGGGGAGAAGUGUUGGUUAUUACCAUUUUAAUAUGUUUUCUUUCAAGACCUUUUCAAAAUAUACAUACGUAUUUUUAUUUCUAUUCAAAAUGGGAUACAUUUUUGAAGGUUAGCAAUAUAUUGUGAACAUUUUCUUUCCAUGCUCAGAAACAUUUUUCUAUAAUAUAAUUUAUAGUGAUAUAAACUAUCUCAUAGACCUACCAUAGUUUACCUAACAAAUCCCAAAUCAUUUGUGCCAUUUCUAAAUUUUUAUUAUCUUAUGUAAUGCUUUAAUGAACAUCCUUGCAUUUAUAUUUUAUACAAUUUUAGAAGUGGAAUUACUGGUUCAAAAUACAUGGUGAUUUUUAAUUCUUCUGUUGAAUAUUGACAAAUUGCAAUCCUGAGAGUUAUCUUGAAGGAUAGAGUAUAUGCCCAGGGUUCUUUUUUAAGAAAUAAUUUGUAAUGUGAAACAGAAUAGGCUAAAUGUUUUUUAUUCUCUUAGUCCUACUCUGUCAUUCUGCAGUUUCACUUAUUUGGAUUCAAAUUCUAAUUCCAGCCUACCUCUCUUUUUAUAUAAUUGUUAGGAGGAUUAAAUUAGAUGCAUAAAAUUGCUGCUUACUACACACAUUGCACAAACUAAAAACUUUUCAAAGGUUAACUGUUUUUCUGGUUUAUUUUUAAGAGACAGGUUCUUGCUCUGUUGCCCAGGCUGGAGUGCAGUGGUGUGAUCACGGCUCACUAUAGCCUCAUCCUGCUGCACUAAAGUGAUCCUCUUGCCUCAGCCUCCUGAGUAGCUAGGACUACAGGCACGUGCCACCAUACCCAGCUAUUUUUUUUUUAAUACAUUUUUGUUGAGGCUGGGUCCCCUUUGCUGUCCAGGCUGGUCUUAAGCUCCUGGCCUCAAGCAAUCCUUCCACUUCUACCUCCCAAAGUGUUGAGAUUAGGGGUGUGAGCCACUCCACCUGACCCAAAGGUUAACUAUUAUUAUUGUUAUUAUUAAUCUGUUUUUUUCCGUUCAUUUCCUCAUUAGUCGACUUUUAUUGUUUCAAUGUUAUUUUAUUGUUUUUCAAAGACUCCUUAUAGUCACAAUAUGUACAUAAUAAAUUUUACCCUUUAAGGACACUGAGGUUCCAAAUGAAAAUGAUAUUUUUAAGAUGAAACAAUUAUAGAUAGAAAAACAACUUUUUUUCUGUGAGUACUAGAUUUCAUAUUAUCCUUAAUGUCUUUCUAGGUAGUAACCAAGCGAUUUCUCAUAAACUGGAAAACAUUAUUCCCACUGAUAUUCUUAAAAACAUUAAGGAUUAAAAAAUGUAUUUUAAA